AUUUUGAACCGCAUGGUUCAAAAGUGAAAGACGGUCUUGCUGUCACUUAUAGAUGGAUCCGCGCUGCAUUAGCUAGUUGGUAAGGUAACGGCUUACCAAGGCAACGAUGCAUAGCCGACCUGAGAGGGUGAUCGGCCACACUGGAACUGAGACACGGUCCAGACUCCUACGGGAGGCAGCAGUAGGGAAUCUUCCGCAAUGGGCGAAAGCCUGACGGAGCAACGCCGCGUGAGUGAUGAAGGUCUUCGGAUCGUAAAACUCUGUUAUUAGGGAAGAACAUAUGUGUAAGUAACUGUGCACAUCUUGACGGUACCUAAUCAGAAAGCCACGGCUAACUACGUGCCAGCAGCCGCGGUAAUACGUAGGUGGCAAGCGUUAUCCGGAAUUAUUGGGCGUAAAGCGCGCGUAGGCGGUUUUUUAAGUCUGAUGUGAAAGCCCACGGCUCAACCGUGGAGGGUCAUUGGAAACUGGAAAACUUGAGUGCAGAAGAGGAAAGUGGAAUUCCAUGUGUAGCGGUGAAAUGCGCAGAGAUAUGGAGGAACACCAGUGGCGAAGGCGACUUUCUGGUCUGUAACUGACGCUGAUGUGCGAAAGCGUGGGGAUCAAACAGGAUUAGAUACCCUGGUAGUCCACGCCGUAAACGAUGAGUGCUAAGUGUUAGGGGGUUUCCGCCCCUUAGUGCUGCAGCUAACGCAUUAAGCACUCCGCCUGGGGAGUACGACCGCAAGGUUGAAACUC
rnacentral:rRNA from 1 species